rnacentral:rRNA from 1 species
GAUGAACGCUGGCGGCGCGCCUAACACAUGCAAGUCGAACGGUUAAAGCACCUUUUAGGUGUGUAUAAAGUGGCGAACGGCUGAGUAACACGUGGGCAACCUGCCCUCCUCUUGGGGAUAGCCUCGGGAAACCGAGGAUAAUACCCGAUACUUCAAUGUGGCCGCAUGACGACAUUGAGAAAGCUUUUGCGGAGAAGGAUGGGCCCGCGGCCUGUUAGCUUGUUGGUGGGGUAGAGGCCUACCAAGGCAAUGAUGGGUAGCUGGGUUGAGAGACCGACCAGCCAGAUUGGGACUGAGACACGGCCCAGACGCCUACGGGAGGCAGCAGGGGGGAAUCUUGCACAAUGGGCGAAAGCCUGAUGCAGCGACGCCGCGUGCGGGACGAAGGCCUUCGGGUUGUAAACCGCUUUCAGCAGGGACGAGGCGAUAAGUGACGGUACCUGCAGAAGAAGCCCCGGCUAACUACGUG